UGACUGCUUAGUCACAAUAAUUGAUUAUUCAAUUCUCUACUUUUUAAUUUUUACCCUAGUAAGACAACAAAAGUUACAGAAGGUGUUUUUUAUUAAAAAAAGUACGAGCCUCUGCCAGACUACCAGGCACCAGCCCUGUUUUCUUAAAAAAAAAAACAGAGAAUUUAUUCCCUUCUUCUCCAAGUGCUGCGUUCUCCAAAUCAACCAUAACCGGCAUCGUUGUUCUGAAAUUGUCGUCGCUCUGAGCAUGAGUUCGAUGUGAUGACAUUCCAUGGAGGAGAUGAAGGUGGAGAUGAAGAUGAAAUUGGAGAUGAGUACGAGGAAGAGUGAUAUAUGAAGAUGAUAGUGUCUUUCAUAUGCAUUUACUAUUUACUUUAAAUAUUUGAUUUUGAUAUGAGACUUAUUUUAAAUGUUUGUUUUGGAUGCAAGACCUUUUUUUUUUUUUUUUGAGUUUUGAUUUAAAUUAAAUGUUAACUUUUGAGUUUUGACUUAUAAGAUGAUUAUGAUUUAUGUUCCCUGUUA